rnacentral:lncRNA from 1 species
UGUUCUUCAAAAUGAAUCAGUUUUCACUGCUGCUGCUGCCUCUGUUGUUCGUCAAUGUAGCCCUGGCAGACAUCGAGCUCGGUCUGUGCCCGGACUUCACUAACAUGCAGACUUUCGAAGUGGAGCCCUACCUCGGCCGGUGGUACGAGAACAGACGUUUCCAGACUGGGCUUAUGGAGCGCGGCUUGGACUGCGUCACCGGCGACUAUGGCUACCUC